rnacentral:lncRNA from 1 species
GUGGCGCCUCUGGGGGGGGGGGACACCCCAUAACCUGGUCCUUGGCCCCAUAACUUGGGGUGACACCCCAAAAUCCCAACGGGGUGGUCCAAAUCCCAACGGGGCACCCCAAAUCCAAACACGGCACCGCAAAUCCCAACGGGACACCCCAUAGAUGUGUGGGUCAUGGGUCACCCCAUAGGGCUGGGGGUCACCCCAUAGAUGUGGGUCGCCCCAUAGAUGUGUGGGUCACCCCAUAGAGCAGCGGGUCACCCCAUAGAUGUGUGGGUCACCCCAUAGAGCAGCGGGUCACCCCAUAGAUGUGUGGGUCCCCCAUGGAGGUGAUGGGUCACCCCAUAGAUGUGGGUCACCCCAUAGAUGUGUGGGUCACCCCAUAGAGCAGCGGGUCACCCCACAGAUGUGUGGGUCCCCCAUGGAAGCGAUGGGUCACCCCAUAGAGCAGUGGGUCACCCCAUAGAUGUGUGGGUCACCCCAUAGAUAUGGGUCACCCCAUAGAGCAGUGGGUCACCCCAUAGA